GGAUCUCUUGGCUCUCGCAUCGAUCAAGAAGAACGCAGCAA
rnacentral:rRNA from 1 species